CGGAGGGAGGUCUGAAAGGCUGAGGAAGAAAGCAGAGCGCGGAGCGACUGCGUGCAUGAGAAGUAGCUACACACCUGUAACUGUAAGCCAUGGACGAAGACGCAGCAACUUGGAGUGGGAAUGUGAGGGCUCUGAUAUCAAGCCUGUUAGAGAAGUACCCCAGAAUAGCCUCGAUCUCAGGCGGUUGGUUGUUCUACAAGUCAUCAGG